rnacentral:rRNA from 1 species
ACGCUGGCGGCAGGCCUAACACAUGCAAGUCGAGCGGUAGAGAGAAGCUUGCUUCUCUUGAGAGCGGCGGACGGGUGAGUAAUGCCUAGGAAUCUGCCUGGUAGUGGGGGAUAACGUCCGGAAACGGACGCUAAUACCGCAUACGUCCUACGGGAGAAAGCAGGGGACCUUCGGGCCUUGCGCUAUCAGAUGAGCCUAGGUCGGAUUAGCUAGUUGGUGGGGUAAUGGCUCACCAAGGCGACGAUCCGUAACUGGUCUGAGAGGAUGAUCAGUCACACUGGAACUGAGACACGGUCCAGACUCCUACGGGAGGCAGCAGUGGGGAAUAUUGGACAAUGGGCGAAAGCCUGAUCCAGCCAUGCCGCGUGUGUGAAGAAGGUCUUCGGAUUGUAAAGCACUUUAAGUUGGGAGGAAGGGCAGUAAAUUAAUACUUUGCUGUUUUGACGUUACCGACAGAAUAAGCACCGGCUAACUCUGUGCCAGCAGCCGCGGUAAUACAGAGGGUGCAAGCGUUAAUCGGAAUUACUGGGCGUAAAGCGCGCGUAGGUGGUUCGUUAAGUUGGAUGUGAAAUCCCCGGGCUCAACCUGGGGAACUCCAUUCAAAACUGACGAGCUAGAGUAUGGUAGAGGGUGGUGGAAUUUCCUGUGUAGCGGUGAAAUGCGUAGAUAUAGGAAGGAACACCAGUGGCGAAGGCGACCACCUGGACUGAUACUGACACUGAGGUGCGAAAGCGUGGGGAGCAAAC